rnacentral:rRNA from 1 species
AGAGUUUGAUCCUGGCUCAGGAUGAACGCUAGCGGCAGGCUUAAUACAUGCAAGUCGAACGGGAUUCGGGGUAGCAAUACUUUGAUGAGAGUGGCGCACGGGUGCGUAACGCGUAUGCAACCUACCUUUAACAGGGGAAUAGCCCCGAGAAAUCGGGAUUAAUACUCCGUAACAUUGCGGUGUGGCAUCACACUGCACUUAAAGCUGAGGCGGUUAAAGAUGGGCAUGCGUGACAUUAGCUAGUUGGUGAGGUAACGGCUCACCAAGGCAACGAUGCCUAGGGGUCCUGAGAGGGUUAUCCCCCACACUGGUACUGAGACACGGACCAGACUCCUACGGGAGGCAGCAGUAAGGAAUAUUGGUCAAUGGGCGCAUGCCUGAACCAGCCAUGCCGCGUGCAGGAAGACGGCCCUAUGGGUUGUAAACUGCUUUUGUCAGGGAAUAAACCCCCGCUCGUGAGCGGGGCUGAAGGUACCUGAAGAAUAAGCAUCGGCUAACUCCGUGCCAGCAGCCGCGGUAAUACGGAGGAUGCAAGCGUUAUCCGGAUUCAUUGGGUUUAAAGGGUGCGCAGGCGGAUUGGUAAGUCAAGGGUGAAAUCCCACAGCUCAACUGUGGAACUGCCUUUGAUACUGUCAGUCUAGAGUAUAGUUGAAGUUGGCGGAAUGUGUCUUGUAGCGGUGAAAUGCUUAGAUAUGACACAGAACACCCAUCGCGAAGGCAGCUAGCUAAGCUAUAACUGAC